rnacentral:rRNA from 1 species
UACGGAGGGUGCGAGCGUUGUCCGGAAUCAUUGGGCGUAAAGGGCGCGUAGGUGGCCCGGUCAGUUCGUGGUGAAAGCGCGGGGCUCAACCCUGCGUCGGCCAUGAAUACUGCCGCGGCUGGAGCACUGUAGAGGCAGGCGGAAUUCCAGGUGUAGCGGUGAAAUGCGUAGAUAUCUGGAGGAACACCGGUGGCGAAGGCGGCAUCCUGGACCGGGAUUGACACUGAGGCGCGAAAGCCAGGGGAGCAAACGGG